rnacentral:misc_RNA from 1 species
UCUCCUUUUUAUCAGUGCUUUGGUUUGUUCUCUCCUCUUGAGAUAUUCCCAUGUUCAUUCCUUCCCCCUCAAAAGUAUGUGGCUGCUGACUUGCUUGCACAUCAAUCCGAUUAUUUAUCCAUUUUUCCUCGGAAGAAGAUUCAAAAUAAGUCUUGUCUUCUUUAGGAACUUCAGAUUUCUUGACAUCCUUGUUAUUUUCUCCCAAUUCACAGUCUGCUUCUUUGAAAUGCUUUACUGAGUCUGGCUUGGAAUCUAUCCCAUUAACUGACCAUCUUUCCUCAUGAGAAGAUACAAAAUUACUC